rnacentral:rRNA from 1 species
ACGGGUGAGUAACGCGUGGGAACGUACCUUUUGGUUCGGAACAACACAGGGAAACUUGUGCUAAUACCGGAUAAGCCCUUACGGGGAAAGAUUUAUCGCCGAAAGAUCGGCCCGCGUCUGAUUAGCUAGUUGGUGGGGUAAAGGCCCACCAAGGCGACGAUCAGUAGCUGGUCUGAGAGGAUGAUCAGCCACAUUGGGACUGAGACACGGCCCAAACUCCUACGGGAGGCAGCAGUGGGGAAUAUUGGACAAUGGGCGCAAGCCUGAUCCAGCCAUGCCGCGUGAGUGAUGAAGGCCCUAGGGUUGUAAAGCUCUUUUGUGCGGGAAGAUAAUGACGGUACCGCAAGAAUAAGCCCCGGCUAACUUCGUGCCAGCAGCCGCGGUAAUACGAAGGGGGCUAGCGUUGCUCGGAAUCACUGGGCGUAAAGGGUGUGUAGGCGGGUCUUUAAGUCAGGGGUGAAAUCCUGGAGCUCAACUCCAGAACUGCCUUUGAUACUGAAGAUCUUGAGUUCGGGAGAGGUGAGUGGAACUGCGAGU